rnacentral:tRNA from 1 species
UGGUUCAGUUGGUAGCGCAUGGUGUUUGCAACGCCAGGGUUGUGGGUUCGAUUCCCAC